UGGUAUGUAGCUCAGUGGCAAAGCACUUGCCUAACAAGUAUAGCAUCCUGGGUUCAAUCCCCAGUGCCAA
rnacentral:tRNA from 1 species